rnacentral:rRNA from 1 species
UGGGGAAUAUUNGACAAUGGGCGCAAGCUGAUCCAGCCAUGCCGCGUGUGUNAAGAAGGCUUUCGGGUUGUAAAGCACUUUCAGUGGGGAAGAAGGCCUUGGGGUUAAUAACCCCGAGGAAGGACAUCACCCACAGAAGAAGCACCGGCUAACUCCGUG